CAAUAGCGUAUAUUAAAGUUGUUGCGGUUAAAAGCUCGUAGUUGGAUUUCUGCUGAGGACGACCGGUCCGCCUCUGGGUGAGUAUCUGGUUCGGCCUGGGCAUCUUCUUGGAGAACGUAGCCGCACUUGACUGUGUGGUGCGGUAUCCAGGACUUUUACUUUUGAGGAAAUUAGAGUGUUUCAAGCAGGCACACGCCUUGAAUACAUUAGCAUGGAAUAAUAAGAUAGGACCUCGGUUCUAUUUUGUUGGUUUCUAGAGCUGAGGUAAUGAUUAAUAGGGAUAGUUGGGGCAUUCGUAUUUAACUGUCAGAGGUGAAAUUCUUGAUUGUAAUGUAAGCGGACUACUGCGAAAGCAUUUGCCAAGGAUGUUUUCAUUGAUCAAGAACGAAAGUUAGGGGAUCGAAGAU
rnacentral:rRNA from 1 species